rnacentral:lncRNA from 10 species
CUUCACUCCCGCUGAAGGCUCAGUCAACUGGGGGAGACCGUUCCAUGAAGAGUGAGGGCGCAUCUACCCCACCAUACAUGCCUUUGGUCAAAGUUGCAGAAGCCUGUGGUUGGGCGUGAACCCAGCACUUUGCAGAAGUGUGAAUUCUUAAUUUACCUCCCCCACAGCCACACACACAGGAGUGAAGGCAGCAGAGCCAAGCAGGAACCCGUCCUGCCCCAGGCCUGAGCUUUCUUAAGAGGCUCAUGGGGCAGAAAGAUCCCAAACUGAGCUCUGACGAGAUGGAGAAGCAAAGGACACGGUUCCUGCCCCCAAGGAGCUCCCAGACAAGCAGGAGAGAAGGUGGCUCCCAGACAAGCAGGAGAGAAGGCAGCUCCCAGACAAGCAGGAGAGAAGGCCGUGGAAAUGAUCCUUCUGAUACCACAGCCUGCCGAUGUCAUCUAGAACUCUGGGGGAUUGGGGGAAAACGAACAGAACCAGAUUAAAAAAAAAACCCUGUCCUUAGCUAGGUGUGGUGGUGGGCACCUGUUAUCCCAGCUACUUGGGCGGCUGAGGCAGGAGAAUCGCUUGAACCCAGGAGGUGGAGACUGCAGUGAGCCAAGACUGUGCCACUGCACUCCAGCCUGGGUGACAGAGCGAGACUCUGUCUCAAAACAAAAAAUGAAAAACAAAAAUGAAAAAGAAAAACAAAAACCAAACCCUGCCUUGUAAUUUUGACUUUUACUUUAUCCAAGUCAGGACUCCUGGUCUGAAGAAUAUUUGACCUCAUAACUAUUGGGGGACACUGGGGCUCCCUGCCCAGGGACAGGAUGUUCUCUGCAGAUAUCAGGACGUGGGUGCCGAUGACAAGGGCGCUUUGCCGCCAUGGCCCGGGGCUGGAAGCGCAGCUCUCAAAGGUUGGUUGUGAAGCUUCCAGGGGAGAUGGUCCUCUGCAGGAAGAAUAAGAGCCAUCCUGUAGCCUUCGCUGUUCCAGAAGGCUCCGUGGUGAAUACAUAAUUAGGUCCUCUGUAAUUACCAGUUUGAAUCUGCCUAGGACACUAAGGCUCCCACCCCCUAAUUUACCUUAUAAAUUUAUUCUGCUAAAAAAGUCGAAAAUGUCAGUCUUCUGUGAA